rnacentral:lncRNA from 1 species
GCUCCGGAUCAAACCGACGGGCAGAGAGCGAGUUCGACUCGCGAACUCGCUCUCUUGCCACGCCUUUCACUCACUCGCUUGAGUCGGACUUCAAUCACUCCUUUUGUUUGGAGGAUCAUUCGUUCUUCACUCUCUUUAUAUUACCCGCAGGGAGCGCAGCAACCAAGGUGCAUAUUAUCAUAUAGAAACAAGCGAAGCGUAGCGAUUCGUACUACCGGAAAAGUUUCGCUAAUCGGCAGGCAAUAGAGUCCGCCGAUAUGCGCAAGCAAGCGUAGCGAAUCACAUAGAUAAGCCCCUACCUGCCAGCGCAGCGCGCGGAUAGAUAGGGCGAGCGAAGCGCGAAGAGGAUGGAUGUCUGAGCGGUUGAAAGAGUCGGUCUUGAAAACCGAAGUAUUGAUAGGAAUACCGGGGGUUCGAAUCCCUCUCCAUCCGCGAAGUCAUAAGUUAUCUCUUGCGCUAUCUAUAGAUAAGAACGAAUCGGAUCGACUCGAC